CAUGGCUUGUGGCCUGUCUUCUCCACCAGACCAUGAGCCCCCAGCUGGGUGUUAUACCCACACAGAGUGUUGGAAAUAUCUGAAGAACGGGGUCCAAACCCCGCUUCACCCAGAGGAGCCUCCCACAUACUGAUGCCCUGCCUCGCGCUGCCCAACAGGUGCGGGCUGAGACCUCUUCUAGAUGUUGAGGAGUCACACCUGCUCUCCCCUGGGACAGAGCACAGCCAUAAAAACAGACCCAACAAGAUGAGGGGGGAAGAGAAACCUCCCCAGGCUCCAAAGCUACCACCGCCCCUCUGGUCCCACAUGGACGGCGAGAAGCAGGAAGCGAGGCAGGCUCCAAGACUGGACCAGAAUCCCAUGGGGACAGCAGCCAGGAGGCCCGAGGCGCCCACAAGCCAGGAUGGGUAGAUAGUGCAACAGUCACUCCCGAGACGGUCACUCCUGAGACUGCCCGGUCCACCCUGUGCGGCUCCUGAGAGGCCCUGCUCACUGAAGACUUCUCCCCCUGAAGACCUCACUUCGUGGGCUGCUGGAGCCCCGGACGGAUCCCUGCCUCGGCCUGGCCUCGGCCCGCGGGUCUGGCCAGGCUCCCGGCCCCGCGCUGCGCUGCCCGCAGGUUCAUCAAUGGCCGAGGCCCAAGGGCCUGAAUGGAGGGCACGAACCCGCCCCUUCUUAAAGGCGCCCGCCUCUCGGGCACCCUCGGCGUCCUCCCCACUAUCGGAGGCUGCCGGAGAGCUCCCGGGGUGGGCGGGUCGAGAAUGGUGACCGUGAGAAAGAAGGCCUGGGCCGAAUGGAGGGCGUGCCGGUCCGCUGACAGUGGUCUGGCUGGGGUCCCUCCCAUGGCCAGCACCCUCAUUCCAGGUUGGCCCUCCCCUCGCCCCCGCAGCCUAGGGAAGAGACCCCGGCUCCCCCCUCUGCCCUGGCUAGAGACCCCUCCUCCGGGGGGCCCGCUGUUCUCGCCCAACCGCGGGGCCUGGGCCCUAGGAGGGGACGGGGGCGCAGCUGCUCCGGAGGCGGCUCAGCCCCUCCCGCCACUCCCGCCCGGCCCGGGAUGGGGGUCUGGGAACCGAUCCCCG
rnacentral:lncRNA from 1 species